rnacentral:rRNA from 1 species
UACGUAGGGGGCUAGCGUUGUCCGGAAUCAUUGGGCGUAAAGAGCGUGUAGGCGGCCAGGUAGGUCGGUUGUGAAAACUGGAGGCUCAACCUUCAGAGGUCGACCGAAACCAUCUGGCUAGAGUCCGGGAGAGGAGAGUGGAAUUCCUGGUGUAGCGGUGAAAUGCGCAGAUAUCAGGAAGAACACCCGUGGCGAAGGCGGCUCUCUGGGACGGUACUGACGCUGAGACGCGAAAGCGUGGGGAGCGAACAGG